GCUUUUAUAGUUUAGCCAAAACAAGGGCUUUUCAAGCCCUAGACCCAGGCUAACACCCUGGUAAAAGUA
rnacentral:tRNA from 1 species